rnacentral:rRNA from 1 species
CAGCAGCCGCGGUAAAACGGAGGGUGCAAGCGUUACUCGGAAUCACUGGGCGUAAAGGACGCGUAGGCGGAUUAUCGAGUCUCUUGUGAAAUCUAACGGCUCAACCGUUAAACUGCUUUGGAAACUGAUAAUCUAGAGUAAGGGAGAGGCAGAUGGAAUUCUUGGUGUAGGGGUAAAAUCCGUAGAUAUCAAGAAGAAUACCUAUUGCGAAGGCGAUCUGCUGGAACUUAACUGACGCUAAUGCGUGAAAGCGUGGGGGGCAAACAGGAUUAGAUACCCGUGUAGUCCCUGUCUCUUAUAC